rnacentral:rRNA from 1 species
AUCGAACGCUGGCGGCGGGCCUAACACAUGCAAGUCGAACGAGUGGCGGACGGGUGAGUAAUGUCUGGGAAACGGCCCGAUGGAGGGGGAUAACUACUGGAAACGGUAGCUAAUACCGCAUACCAUGGGAUGUGCCCAGGGGGGAUUAGCUAGUAGGGGGGGUAAUGGCUCACCUAGGCGCCGAUCCCUAGAUGGUCUGAGAGGAUGACCAGCCACACUGGAACUGAGACACGGUCCAGACGCCUACGGGAGGCAGCAGGGGGGAAUAUUGCACAAUGGGCGAAAGCGUGAUGGAGCCAUGCCGCGUGGAUGAAGGAGGCCUUCGGGUUGUAAAGUACUUUCCGCGAGGAGGCGUUACUCGCAGAAGAAGCACCGGCUAACUCCGUGCCAGCAGCCGCGGUAAUUC